rnacentral:rRNA from 1 species
GGUCAAGCGAACAAGUGCAUGUGGUGGAUGCCUUGGCGAUCACAGGCGAUGAAGGACGCGGUAGCCUGCGAAAAGCUCCGGGGAGCUGGCAAACAAGCUUUGAUCCGGAGAUGUCCGAAUGGGGAAACCCACUCCUUCUGGAGUAUCCGUGGCUGAAUACAUAGGCCAUGUGAAGCGAACGCGGCGAACUGAAACAUCUAAGUAGCCGCAGGAAAAGAAAUCAACCGAGAUUCCCAGAGUAGUGGCGAGCGAAAUGGGAGCAGCCUGUACUCUUUAUCUGAACUGUUAGCCAAACGCUCUGGAAAGUGCGGCCAUAGCGGGUGAUAGCCCCGUAGGCGAAAACAGGUUGGAAGAACUGGGUGUACGACAAGUAGGGCGGGACACGUGAAAUCCUGUCUGAAGAUGGGGGGACCAUCCUCCAAGGCUAAAUACUCGUGAUCGACCGAUAGUGAACCAGUACCGUGAGGGAAAGGCGAAAAGAACCCCGGGAGGGGAGUGAAACAGAUCCUGAAACCGCAUGCAUACAAACAGUCGGAGCCUCGAAAGGGGUGACGGCGUACCUUUUGUAUAAUGGGUCAGCGACUUACAUUCAGUGGCGAGCUUAACCGUAUAGGGCAGGCGUAGCGAAAGCGAGUCCGAACAGGGCGUCCAGUCGCUGGGUGUAGACCCGAAACCAGGUGAUCUAUCCAUGGCCAGGCUGAAGGUGCGGUAACACGUACUGGAGGGCCGAACCCACUGACGUUGAAAAGUCAGGGGAUGAGCUGUGGAUAGGGGUGAAAGGCUAAACAAACCUGGAAAUAGCUGGUUCUCUCCGAAAACUAUUUAGGUAGUGCCUCGUGUAUCACCUUCGGGGGUAGAGCACUGUCAUGGUUGAGGGGUCCAUUGCGGAUUACCUCGCCAUAGCAAACUCCGAAUACCGAAGAGUGCAAUCACGGGAGACAGACAUCGGGUGCUAACGUCCGGUGUCAAGAGGGAAACAACCCAGACCGCCAGCUAAGGUCCCCAAACAUGGCUAAGUGGGAAACGAAGUGGGAAGGCUAAAACAGUCAGGAGGUUGGCUUAGAAGCAGCCACCCUUUAAAGAAAGCGUAAUAGCUCACUGAUCGAGUCGUCCUGCGCGGAAGAUGUAACGGGGCUAAGCCAUGUACCGAAGCUGCGGAUGCGAGCUUGCUCGCAUGGUAGGAGAGCGUUCCGUAAGCCUGCGAAGGUGCACCGGAAGGUGUGCUGGAGGUAUCGGAAGUGCGAAUGCUGACAUGAGUAGCGAUAAAGGGGGUGAAAGGCCCCCUCGCCGUAAGCCCAAGGUUUCCUACGCAACGUUCAUCGGCGUAGGGUGAGUCGGCCCCUAAGGCGAGGCAGAAAUGCGUAGCUGAUGGGAAGCAGGUCAAGAUUCCUGCACCGGCGUGAAAUGCGAUGGGGGGACGGAUCGCGGAAGGUUGUCCGGGUGUUGGAAGUCCCGGUCGCUGCAUUGGAGAAGGUGCCCUGGCAAAUCCGGGCACGCAAUUCAAGGGUGUGGCGCGAGCGGCCUCGGCUGCGAAGCAACUGGAAGGGGUUCCAGGAAAAGCCUCUAAGCUUCAGUUUCACGUUGACCGUACCGCAAACCGACACAGGUGGGCGAGAUGAGUAUUCUAAGGCGCUUGAGAGAACUCGGGAGAAGGAACUCGGCAAACUGGUACCGUAACUUCGGGAUAAGGUACGCCCUGGUAGCUUGACCGGCCUGCGCCGGAAGGGUGAAGGGGUUGCAAUAAACUGGUGGCUGCGACUGUUUAAUAAAAACACAGCACUCUGCAAACACGAAAGUGGACGUAUAGGGUGUGACGCCUGCCCGGUGCCGGAAGAUUAAAUGAUGGGGUGCAAGCUCUUGAUUGAAGUCCCGGUAAACGGCGGCCGUAACUAUAACGGUCCUAAGGUAGCGAAAUUCCUUGUCGGGUAAGUUCCGACCUGCACGAAUGGCGUAACGAUGGCCACACUGUCUCCUCCCGAGACUCAGCGAAGUUGAAGUGUUUGUGAUGAUGCAAUCUACCCGCGGCUAGACGGAAAGACCCCAUGAACCUUUACUGCAGCUUUGCAUUGGACUUUGAACCGGUCUGUGUAGGAUAGGUGGGAGGCUGUGAAGCGUGGACGCCAGUCUGCGUGGAGCCAACCUUGAAAUACCACCCUGGCUUGUUUGAGGUUCUAACCCAGGUCCGUGAAUCCGGAUCGGGGACAGUGCAUGGCAGGCAGUUUGACUGGGGCGGUCUCCUCCCAAAGCGUAACGGAGGAGUACGAAGGUACGCUAGGUACGGUCGGAAAUCGUGCUGAUAGUGCAAUGGCAUAAGCGUGCUUGACUGCGAGACCGACAAGUCGAGCAGGUGCGAAAGCAGGUCAUAGUGAUCCGGUGGUUCUGUAUGGAAGGGCCAUCGCUCAACGGAUAAAAGGUACUCUGGGGAUAACAGGCUGAUACCGCCCAAGAGUUCAUAUCGACGGCGGUGUUUGGCACCUCGAUGUCGGCUCAUCUCAUCCUGGGGCUGUAGCCGGUCCCAAGGGUAUGGCUGUUCGCCAUUUAAAGAGGUACGUGAGCUGGGUUUAAAACGUCGUGAGACAGUUUGGUCCCUAUCUGCCGUGGGCGCUGGAAGUUUGAGGGGGCCUGCUCCUAGUACGAGAGGACCGGAGUGGACGAACCUCUGGUGUACCGGUUGUCACGCCAGUGGCAUCGCCGGGUAGCUAUGUUCGGAAGAGAUAACCGCUGAAAGCAUCUAAGCGGGAAACUCGCCUCAAGAUGAGACUUCCCCGGGGCUUCGAGCCCCUUGAAGGGUCGUUCAAGACCAGGACGUUGAUAGGCCGGGUGUGGAAGCGCAGUAAUGCGUUAAGCUAACCGGUACUAAUUGCCCGUAAGGCUUGAUCCU